rnacentral:rRNA from 1 species
GAUGAACGCUGGCGGCGUGCCUAAUACAUGCAAGUCGAGCGAACGGACGAGAAGCUUGCUUCUCUGAUGUUAGCGGCGGACGGGUGAGUAACACGUGGAAAACCUACCUAUAAUACUGGGAUAACUUCGGGAAACCGGAGCUAAUACCGGAUAAUAUUUUGAACCGCAUGGUUCAAAAGUGAAAGACGGUCUUGCUGUCACUUAUAGAUGGAUCUGCGCUUCAUUAGCUAGUUGGUAAGGUAACGGCUUACCAAGGCAACGAUGCAUAGCCGACCUGAGAGGGGGAUCGGCCACACUGGAACUGGGACACGGUCCAGACGCCUACGGGAGGCAGCAGUAUGGAAUCUUCCGCAAAGGGCGAAAGCCUGACGGAGCAACGCCGCGUGAGUGAUGAAGGUCUUCGGAUCGUAAAACUCUGUUAUUAGGGAAGAACAUAUGUGUAAGUAACUGUGCACAUCUUGACGGUACCUAAUCAGAAAGCCACGGCUAACUACGUG